AGGGUAUAGUAUUUGAACAUUCUUUUAACUUUUUAACCAUAAUAUAAAAUCCUUAUCAGAUUCCAUGAGUUGCAUUUUGAUGGUGGUGUCUUUCUUUCUGCAGGCAAUUGGUUAUGACUUCGACUAUGAUGAGUACCACAGGUAGAGAACUGUGAAUAUCCUCUUUUCUGUUUUAUCCCUGUUUUGUUUUGUUGAUUUUCUUUUUUUAUUACAUGUUUUUCUGCUGGUUUGAUUUACACUUGUUUUUCACUUUCCAAUAACCAGUUUUGUUCAUGGGAGAUUGCCUUAUGACAACCUAAAACCAGACCCUGUCCUGAGGAUUCUUCUGCAGAGCCUCCCAAUUAGAAAAGUAGUAAGUAGCCAGUAAUUACCAUCAACAGAUAAAUGACAAUAACUUGGUAAAACUCCGACACUUUACUAAUGAUGCCUCUUUCUACUGUAAAAUCUAGAUCUUUACAAAUGCAGACAAAGUUCAUGCCCUUAAAGUUCUUACCAAGCUUGGGUUGGAAGAUUGUUUUGAAGGGAUUAUUUGUUUUGAGACUCUAAAUCCUACCCAUAAGAGCACCAUUUCUGAUGAUGAAGAUGACAUUGAGUUUGUGGGAUCAGCUGCUGCUGCUGCUGCCAAAACUGCUAAUAAUGGUCCUGAAAUUUUUGACAUUAUUGGCCAUUUUGCUCAACCAAACCCAGCCGCGGUGUUACCAAAAACACCAAUUGUCUGCAAACCAUCAGAAACUGCCAUAGAAAGGGCUCUUCAAAUAGCUAACAUUAAUCCGUACAGAACUGUAAGUUCAAAGCCUUCUCAAGCUGGCUAAAUUGGAUCAUUCACACACACUUAAAUAGCAUAUACUAACAGUUCAUGAUCAAUAUCUGAGCUUUUGCAGCUGUUCUUUGAGGAUAGUGUCCGCAAUAUUCUGGCCGGAAAACGUCUGAAUCUUCACACUGUGCUGGUGAGCCUCCGAUCUAAAAUGAUAGAGUUACAAUCAGAACUUGUGAAUCCUAGUAUUUUAAUUUUUAAUGGGAUAUUUUUAUUUUUGUUUAAUGGAUGCAGGUCGGUACAUCUCAGAGAGUGAAAGGUGCAGAUUAUGCAUUAGAAAGCAUCCACAAUCUGAGGGAAGCAGUGCCAGAGCUUUGGGAGGCUGAAAUUAAGACAGAUGGGUACCCUGCAAAGGUUGCAAGAGAGACACCUGUCACUGCUUAAGAUAUUUGCUUUCUUUGUCAUUUGCUCAAUGGAAGGAAUGAUGGAAAUCAAUGAUCACAUUAUCUCAGGAUCUAUCUAUGAUCAUAGGGUGUGCCCAUUUCCGCCCGCUCUAGUUGACUCAGCACACAAAUUGUACACCCAGUAUCCUGAAUUCAACGCUCAAACCCCAUCAUUAGAAUAUUAAUGAAAAAAAAAAUCUAAUUAAUUCAUGUUUCCCUAUUCUAUGAUCCAAUUAUGUAAAUAUUUACUGUAAUCAUUGAUAAUAUUAUUAAAAAAAUUUUAAGAGUUGCUUUCUUCUUCUCCAUCAUGUUGAAUCUAAUGCUAAUUUAAUUUUGUAUUGUGAUAAAAAGGAUUUUCUUAAUAGAUUAAACGAAAAUUAAUAAGAAGUCUUAAAUAACAGGAAGAUCAAAAUAUAACAUUAAAAGAAUCAGACCAAUCCAAUCUGGUUCUGAGUUAAAUCAAUUUUUUUCUUUGAGAAACGAAAAAAAUUGAAAGAAAUUUAAGCAGUAAUCAAAAUCGAACCAAGCCAAAUCUCAGACCGUCAUUAAAACCAAGGUGUGGUUUGGUCUGAUUCCAUCCCUUUAAUCGUCUCUGAAACCGCAAAUUCCAGACUAGAAGGAAGCCAUGGGGAACCCUAAUCCUAGCCGUACACAUGUCAUCAAACGAGUAGUUGAUUUCGCUUGAUAAGAUAGGGACUUCUUACUUAAGCCAAACGGCGGGACAAAAAAACAAAAUCAACUUUUAAUUAAUUAUUAAAUCUUCACCCUUACAAAAAAAAAAAAAAGAAAAAAAAAUCUUCACAGCAACUCCAAUAGAGUUUUCUUGAAGAUUACCAACUUGUCUCUCUGAACUUCGAAAAUGCCCCUUAAGAAAAGGAAUGGAGCUAAAAAAAAAUAGGGCAAAAUAUAUACAAUUGAUUAGAAAAUAGUUCAUUAUUGUCUUUAAUCUAGAGUGAAUCUUCUUGAAUCAUGCCAAUUUGCCUUUGCAUGCACUGGUUUUGCUCAUCCUUCUUUGAUGUGAAAGAUUCAAAUUUCUUUAGAUUUUUCCUUUCUCCUUAAUCGUUAGCGGGUGUUUGUUGAUAAUUGUGGUGGCUAAAUCUUUCAAAUUGUGAGUGAAGCAUCUCUGUUGUUUUUCAAGGUGGAUCUAGACUAAGUUUAGGUUCUCCUUUAGGAUUUUUAGGUUUUGUUUUAUCAUGGGCCUUUUUCUAAGUCUAGAAACCUUUUGAUAUAGAACUUAUUAGUUGGGGCUUGAUAUAGAACCUACCAUGGGGCUUGGACUUGUUUUAUCAAAUAAAGGUCAAUGUUUAAUUUUGUUAUUAAAAAUCAAAAAAAUCUCUUAUUUUGAAGAUAAUUUCUAUUUUUAUUAAUUUUGUUCGUAGGUCGGGUAAUGAUGUAACUCAUGCGCUUGUUCGAACUAGUUAUAGUAUUUUGGGUCUGGUUGAGAUUUUUUCUUCAUCUAUUUAUUAAAUUUUUGAAUUAAUCGUUUUUAAAUCUUAAUGAAAUUUACAACUUUUAUUCAAAAAAAAAUAAUAUAUGAAGUUUAAUUUUUUAUACAUAUGAUAUGUCAUGUAUAAUAAGUAAAUAGUUUACCAUGUUAUGCAUACAAAAUGAAUCUUAAAUAUUGAAGUUCAUGUGUUUAUUUUAAAAUUUGAUUAAAAUUUUACUCGAAUAAAAAUAUUAAAUUUUUAUUAUUCAAUAAUAAAAUGUUUGAAUUAUUGUUAAUAGUUAACCUUAAAAAAAAAAAAAAAAACAAUUAACACCAAUAACAUGCUUUUUCUUUGGCUUGCGAGUGAGCUCCUGCAUAGCAUGUUACACUCAAGAAACCCAUUCUUUAAAGUAGAAGGCUCCAUAUUUAACAAAUUGCUCUUUUUUAAAAAAAAAAAAAAUCAAAUUCAAGAAUUCUAAGUUCUAACUCACUUUCACAUUCAUCACAAGAUUAAUCCGCUAAAUACAUACUCGUACACUUAUAUUUUAAUAUUUUUAUUUAUAAAAUACUUCAAUUUUAAUUAUUAUUUAAUAAAUAUUUAAAUUUAAAAAAAUAUUUUUAAAUAUAAUUUGAUAAUUUUUUUUAAAUUUAAGAGUUUAAAAAUAAUAUUUAUAAAAAUUUUAGUGUUUAUAAAUAAUUUUUUUCUAAAUUUAAGUAUUUAUUAAAUUACAAUUAAAAUUGAACUUGGUAAAAAUGUUAAAAUGCUUUAAUCAAGAUUGAUUUAUCAUCCAGCUUGGACCUCUUCAUGUCAUGUACAUGAAUGCAUGCAUGUUGCAAUUAGAGCCAAACACUCUAAGGUGCUUGACAGAUAGCUUCCAGCCAAUCUAGACCUCAUCUGGUGAUAUUCCUUCUUAGCAAGUAGCCUAUUAAAUGAUAUUAUUGCCAAUAUAUACCAUUGGUUUAAUAUAAUUCAUUUAAAAAAAAAUUAAUAAAUUUUUAUAAAAUCAAACAUAAUUUUAUUUACUUUAAAAAUAAAAAUUUUAUAAAUUAAAAUAACAAUAAAUUAUUUCAUUAUAAACAACAAAAUUAAUAAAAAAAAAUUAAAUUUUUUAUAAAAUCUUAUCACAGUUGUAGACAAUUGUUGUAGUAAUACUAAUAUCUUAUCUCAAGGUCUUAUCUUCAUGUCAAUUUGAUUUCAAUUCCUUUUUUUUUUAAAUAAUUCUAAUUAAAUAUUAAAUUGGAUUUUUUUUAACAGCUAUGUUAAGAUUAAAAUGAAACAAUUUGAUGGGGAAAAAUUAAAAUUUUAUAACCACACAUGGUAGCAAGUUUGAUUUAGGAUAUUUUAAUAAUCUUUGAGUGGCUAUAAUUGAAGCAAUGGCAAUGAUUUGCCAUCCUUUUGUGGAUGGCUGGCUGGCUGGAUGCCUUCCUUCCUCACAUUCACUUGAGUCAUAAUCAAUUUCCAAUCAUUUAAAUUGAAGUUUGGAAGGCAAUGGUUACCAACCAAAAUAAAUAAAAUUAAAAUGACACCAAUGUAAUCCUAACUUCGAUAAUCCAAUAUUUUAUAAAUAAUUUAAUAUUAAUUACACAUAUUAGAUCUGGGGAGGAUUUGAUCACACUGAGAAAUAUAUGGAAAGAAAAUGACUUUUUAAUUAAUUAAUUUAGGGCUAAAUUAUUGGUGUAAUAUGAGUAAUUUAAGCAAUUAAGAUGGAUCAGAAAUUGCCAACAAACCAAGGAUGAAGCUGGCAAAUACAUUAAAAAUAGAUAGAUACCUAACAAAUACAAAAGCCCUGCAUUCUGUGCAAGUACUAAAAUGGACCGUUGAAUUGUAACGUGUUAAAUUUCGAAAGUGAAUAAUAUCUAAAUAGUACUAUUUAAAUAACGAUUAAAUAAUUAAUUUAAAAUUAAAAUAAAUUUAUUAAGAUAAUGAGAAAUUUAAAUAAAAAAUUAAUUUAUGGACUUAUUUUAUAUUUUUAAAAAAUAUUAAAAUUAAAAGAAAAUAUGCUAUAGUUUAUUUUGGUAAGGAUAUAUUUGAUUAAAUAAAUAAAGAAUAAGAAAAGAUGUGUAAUAGGAAAGAAAUGUGAGGUUAAUAUAAAAUUAUAAAUUUUUGUGGGCAAAAUGAUAAGAUAAAGAUAUUUUUAAGGGAUCAAUACACUCUCGACACUUGACUGUUUUCUAAUCAUUAUAAAAAAAAAGUUUGAAAAGAAUUAUGGAAACUCAUUUUCUUCCACUUUUCUUUUUUCUUUUGCCGGAUGAAAGAGAAGAAAGUUCUACUCCAUCUUCAACUACCCUUACACCAAAUUUCUCUUUUACCCCACAAUUAAAUCUUUAUUUUACCCAAACCCUUUUUCUAGAUAAAUAUAUUAGAAGGGAGUAGAAAUUGAGAGAAACUUCAAGAUUGGAGAAAGAGGGGAUAGUGACUAAGUGUAGGAAUUUUAAAAGUAUGUUGAAGAUCUUAAUUUAUAAGUGUUUAUUAUCAUAUUUAUAAGAAUUAUUUUGGGGAGAAAUUGAAUGUAGUUUAUUUUCUUGCAAUUCAUGAAAAUCAAGUUGAGAAAAAUUUGAAAGGAAAAGAAAGGAAAGCUUAGGAAGGAAAAAGAAGAGAAGAAAGUAUAGAGAUUUUGAAGAAAAAAGUUUGUGCUCAAUUUUUCUUAAAUAUACUCAUGGAACACAUAAGAAUUGUCUGCGCUACAGAUUUGAUAAGAACCUUCUUAUCUACUUUAGAAGAAAUCUACUAUUCCAUUAGUUAAUUCUCUUCCACAUUCUCUCCCUCAAAAAAUCAAAAACUAUUUUUUAUUCCACCCAAUAAGAGAGAUUAAACCCAAGUAAGCAAAGGUGAGUGAACAUUAAGACAUUGCAAAUGGUAGAAUUCACACUAUAAACCACAUUAGGAUUAAUAUAUAAAUAUAAUUAACAUUAAUUGUUGCACUUGUACCUAUUAUACCAUUAGCUAUUUACCACAUAUCAAAUGAAUAUAUGUGAUGUAGAUCAAUAUUAAAAUAUAUUAAAUACGAAUCUCAAUAAUUCAAAUCAUGUCAAACUUCAUCCAUAUCAGAAUUUUAUCCUUAUCCGAUAGGAUCCUACAUCCUACAUUAGAUAUAACUCUAUCAUCUCAUACACUUCUAACAAUAUCCAAUAUGCUAUAUAAUGAGCUCACAACCUCCAUAAUCAGGUAUACUAUUAUCUCAAUAGUCAAUUCGAUUAUUUAUUCAUUAUCCAUACUGACUUAAGCAUUAGAGAGGUUGCCAAGUCAAUCCACACGAUAGUCUCUCUUAUUUUAUAGAUCCAUACCUAAAAAAACAUGAUGUAAACAAUAGCAUUGGUGCCGCAAGUGGGAAUUGAUACAAAAGUUAUGUAUCUCACACUUUUUUUAUUA
rnacentral:lncRNA from 1 species